AUGAUCUUUCAGGUAUUUUUUUUUUUUUUUGGUUGAAACUGUUGAUCAAAUAAGUGUUUUAAUGGUAACUGUAUUAGAGAGUGUGCAUGCAUUUGUUUUCCUUUGUGAUUAUGAAUUGGAACUUAACUUGUUUUUAUGUAAUAUUAUAAUGAUUUUAUUUGGAAAAAGAUCUGUUUCAAUUUUUUGUUCUCAUGGAAUUACUUGCCUAAGCUAGAGCCAUUCUCUUAUGAGAGCAGAAUCUUGGUGCAAUUACAUUCAUGUGUAGGAAUUCUUCAGUUUUUGCAAUUUAAAUAAAAAUGAGAGUGUGAGACGCCCACUAAAUUUGGGAGGAAAGUAGAUUCCGAAGUGGAGGGAAUUUUGUUGAAUAAUCAAGAAAUCAACAGUUGAGAUAUUUGGUAAUGGGAAUUUUCUGGUGAUUUGAUAUUUCAUAAAAGCAUUUUAGUGUGAUUGACCCUUUUCGUUUUUGGAUAAAAUCUUGAUGCUUAUAUUAGAAAGCUGAACUUGAGUUUUGACUGUGACAUAUCUGAAAUAUCAUUAAUUGCUUACUUUGUGGUUCUCAAUGAGGUUGACCCUAUCCAUAUUUUCGUUCUUUGUGAUUAGCUCUUCUUGUGGUUGGACAGGCCACCUAGGAGGAUCUUGUACUCACUAGAUAAUUUGCUGGUCUCUAUAAGGCAGCUUAAUUUAAUACUCACCUAGGAGGAUCUUGCACUUUCCAGAUGAUUUGAUGGUCUUUAUUGGGUAGCUUAAAUUAAUUUUCACCUAGGAAGAUCUUGCACUUACUAGAUGAUUUGACAGUCUCUAUUAGGCAACUUAAUUUAUUUGUCACUGUGUAUGGUGUCCAUCAUACUUUUCAUCCUUAACAAUAUGAUACUUAUGAAGAUUGUUGUCCAGAUAA
rnacentral:misc_RNA from 1 species